rnacentral:rRNA from 1 species
GAUGAACGCUGGCGGCGUGCCUAAUACAUGCAAGUCGAGCGAAUGGAUUAAGAGCUUGCUCUUAUGAAGUUAGCGGCGGACGGGUGAGUAACACGUGAGCAACCCACCCCGAACUCUGGGAUAACAGCGGGAAACCGCUGCUAAUACCGGAUACCUUCCUGCGGUCGCAUGGCCGCGCGAAGAAAGGGUUACUGGUUCGGGACGGGCUCGCGGCCUAUCAGCUUGUUGGUGGGGUAACGGCCUACCAAGGCUUCGACGGGUAGCUGGUCUGAGAGGAUGAUCAGCCACACUGGGACUGAGACACGGCCCAGACUCCUACGGGAGGCAGCAGUGGGGAAUCUUGCGCAAUGGGCGAAAGCCUGACGCAGCAACGCCGCGUGCGGGAUGACGGCCCUCGGGUUGUAAACCGCUUUCAGCAGGAACGAAUCUGACGGUACCUGCAGAAGAAGGUCCGGCCAACUACGUGCCAGCAGCCGCUGUAA